GAUGAAGAACGCAACGAAAUGCGAUACGUAAUGUGAAUUGCAGAAUUCAGUGAAUCAUCGAGUCUUUGAACGCACAUUGCGCCCCCUGGUAUUCCGGGGGGCAUGCCUGUCCGAGCGUCAUUGCUGCCCUCAAGCACGGCUUGUGUGUUGGGCCUCCGUCCUCCUCCCGGGGGACGGGCCCGAAAGGCAGCGGCGGCACCGCGUCCGGUCCUCGAGCGUAUGGGGCUUCGUCACCCGCUCUUGUAGGCCCGGCCGGCGCUUGCCGACACAUCAAUCUUUUUUCCAGGUUGAGCUCGGAUCAGGUAGGGAUACCCGCUGAACUUAAGCAUAUCAAUAAGCGGAGGA
rnacentral:misc_RNA from 1 species